GACGUGUGUUGGGGUGGUCGCUGUGCUGUGCGUCGGCGGCCGUGUGCGCGCCAGAGGGGUUGGAAUGAGCAACGUAUUGCCAGUCCUGUCAUGUCAACGAAGUAAUUACACCCCUUGAGGAGUGUGAGACAUCUGGCAAGAGCGUCGAAAAUCCCUGAAGAAGGAAGUGAGAAAUAGUCCUUAAGAGUGUUGAAAAAAAAUAUCCAGAUAUCUUCUUUCGUCACUGAA